rnacentral:rRNA from 1 species
UACCAGCACCCCGAGUGGUCGGGACGUUUAUUGGGCCUAAAGCAUCCGUAGCCGGUUCUACAAGUCUUCCGUUAAAUCCACCUGCUUAACAGAUGGGCUGCGGAAGAUACUAUAGAGCUAGGAGGCGGGAGAGGCAAGCGGUACUCGAUGGGUAGGGGUAAAAUCCGUUGAUCCAUUGAAGACCACCAGUGGCGAAGGCGGCUUGCCAGAACGCGCUCGAUGGUGAGGGAUGAAAGCUGGGGGAGCAAACCGG